rnacentral:rRNA from 1 species
GACGAACGCUGGCGGCGUGCCUAAUACAUGCAAGUUGAGCGAUGAAGCUUGGUGCUUGCACCAAUUUGAAGAGCAGCGAACGGGUGAGUAACGCGUGGGGAAUCUGCCUUUGAGCGGGGGACAACAUUUGGAAACGAAUGCUAAUACCGCAUAACAACUUUAAACAUAAGUUUUAAGUUUGAAAGAUGCAAUUGCAUCACUCAAAGAUGAUCCCGCGUUGUAUUAGCUAGUUGGUGAGGUAAAGGCUCACCAAGGCGAUGAUACAUAGCCGACCUGAGAGGGUGAUCGGCCACAUUGGGACUGAGACACGGCCCAAACUCCUACGGGAGGCAGCAGUAGGGAAUCUUCGGCAAUGGACGAAAGUCUGACCGAGCAACGCCGCGUGAGUGAAGAAGGUUUUCGGAUCGUAAAACUCUGUUGGUAGAGAAGAACGUUGGUGAGAGUGGAAAGCUCAUCAAGUGACGGUAACUACCCAGAAAGGGGCGGCUAACUACGU